rnacentral:rRNA from 1 species
AUAAGUGAAUAGUGAAAUCUGGUGGCUCAACCAUACAGGCUAUUAUUCAAACUGUACAACUCGAGAGUGGUAGAGGUCACUGGAAUUUCUAGUGUAGGAGUGAAAUCCGUAGAUAUUAGAAGGAACACCAAUGGCGUAGGCAGGUUACUGGACCAUUUCUGACGCUAAGGCACGAAAGCGUGGGGAGCGAACUGGAUUAGAUACCCAGGUAGUCCACGCCGUAAACGAUGGAUACUA